rnacentral:rRNA from 1 species
AUUGAACGCUGGCGGCAGGCCUAACACAUGCAAGUCGAACGGUAACAGGGAUCAGCUUGCUGAUUCGCUGACGAGUGGCGGACGGGUGAGUAAUGUCUGGGAAACUUCCUGAUGGAGGGGGAUAACUACUGGAAACGGUAGCUAAUACCGCAUAACGUCGCAAGCCCAAAGAGGGGGACCUUCGGGCCUCUUGCCAUCGGAUGUGCCCAGAUGGGAUUAGCUAGUAGGUGGGGUAACGGCUCACCUAGGCGACGAUCCCUAGCUGGUCUGAGAGGAUGACCAGCCACACUGGAACUGAGACACGGUCCAGACUCCUACGGGAGGCAGCAGUGGGGAAUAUUGCACAAUGGGCGCAAGCCUGAUGCAGCCAUGCCGCGUGUAUGAAGAAGGCCUUCGGGUUGUAAAGUACUUUCAGCGGGGAGGAAGGGAGUAAAGUUAAUACCUUUGCUCAUUGACGUUACCCGCAGAAGAAGCACCGGCUAACUCCGUG